AGCAGCCGCGGUAAUUCCAGCUCCAAUAGCGUAUAUUAAAGUUGUUGCAGUUAAAAAGCUCGUAGUUGAAUUUCGGGAUCAAUAUGUUGGUCGUGCCUCGGUACGUACUAGCUUAUUGGUUUCUCCUUUCUGAAGAACCAUGAUGUCAUUCAUUUGGUGUCGUGGGGAAUCAGGACUGUUACUUUGAAAAAAUUAGAGUGUUUAAAGCAGGCUCACGCUUGAAUACAUUAGCAUGGAAUAAUGAAAUAGGACGUUUGAUUCUAUUUUGUUGGUUUCUAGGAUCGACGUAAUGAUUAAUAGGGAUAGUUGGGGGCAUUAGUAUUCAAUUGUCAGAGGUGAAAUUCUUGGAUUUAUUGAAGACUAACUACUGCGAAAGCAUUUGCCAAGGAUGUUUUCAUUAAUCAAGAACGAAAGUUAGGGGAUCGAAGACGAUCAGAUACCGUCGUAGUCUUAACCAUAAACUAUGCCGACUAGGGAUCGGAUGAUGUUAAUUUUUUAAUGACUCAUUCGGCGCCUUACG
rnacentral:rRNA from 1 species